AUUGAACGCUGGCGGCAUGCCUUGCACAUGCAAGUCGAACGGUAACGGGCCUUCGGGUGCCGACGAGUGGCGAACGGGUGAGUAAUACAUCGGAACGUGCCCGAUCGUGGGGGAUAACGAGGCGAAAGCUUUGCUAAUACCGCAUACGAUCUACGGAUGAAAGCCGGGGACCGCAAGGCCUUGCGCGGACGGGGCGGCCGAUGGCAGAUUAGGUAGUUGGUGGGAUAAAAGCUUACCAAGCCGACGAUCUGUAGCUGGUCUGAGAGGAUGAUCAGCCACACUGGGACUGAGACACGGCCCAGACUCCUACGGGAGGCAGCAGUGGGGAAUUUUGGACAAUGGGCGCAAGCCUGAUCCAGCCAUGCCGCGUGCAGGAUGAAGGCCUUCGGGUUGUAAACUGCUUUUGUACGGAACGAAAAGCCUUCUUUUAAUACAGGAGGGUCAUGACGGUAACGUAAGAAUAAGCACCGGCUAACUACGUG
rnacentral:rRNA from 1 species